CGAGGAGCCCAGCGAUUAGGAGGUGUCCGGCAGAGGGGCCCCUCGGGCUGCGCCCCGGCGUCCCCCAGCCAGGCCUUGGCAGGGCCCGGGGGCUGCCGAAUGGGGAGAGCCCUGCCCCCUCCGGCACUAGCACCCCCUCGUGCCGGGGGCCGGCGUUAGACACGAGCUGAGGGAGCAACCGCUCGGGCCCUCGCCUCGGCAGCCCUGGGCCCGCCCUCUGGCUGACCCCAAGAGGGAGAAGUCCCGCCCAAACCACCUUCCCGCUCCCGGUGGCCUGGGGCCCCCCGGUCACCCCCAGCGUGUGGCGCAAUCCGCGAACGCACCGAUUGGCCACCCUGCACCGCUCACCUAGGAGCGCGAGGGGCGCUAAUAGCGGGUGAAGGCAGAGCGCGCGUCCCUGGUCGCAGCGACCCCGGCGUAGGCUUAGUACCGGGGAGGGGAGGAAGUUCCGCUUAGCGAGGAAACGUGGCCCCGCUAUUCCUGCUUCCCCUCAGUCGCUGUGCCCACAAGGCCCAAGCCCUGGUCCCGCGCUUCGGAGGCUCAAUGGAGUCAGAGCAGCAGCCGGCAAGUUUAAAGAGCUCUGGCCUGUGACUCGCGCCCAGCCCCAUGUGAGCAGCACACAGAAUCUUUUGUGGUUAUACAGGGCCUCUCCUAAAACCCAUUCAGGUCAAUUGGAGUCUCCACUGACUUCAGUGGGCUUUGGAUCCGGCCCACAGUUUUACUACUACUACACAUUUAGGCCCCACUGGGAUGCCAUUUUUGGUAAGAAGAAAUAACUGUAUUUUAAAUGGGAGCAUGAUGAAGUAGAGUACCUCCUUGGAAGCCAGAACUUCUGAAGUCUAGUUCUAGCUCUGAUAUGGUCUUGCUGAGUUGGUCUAAGCAAGAAACUUAAACCUAAAAAUUGUUUUUUAUCAAAAGUGGUCUCGAGAGUCCUGAUGCUGCAUCGUCAGUCAAUGGGAGCUUUGCCAUUUAUUUCAAUGAGCAUAGGAUCAAGUUCUAAUUUGGGAUGCCAAACUCCUGAAACCCAGGACAAAAUUUCCUUAUACCCAAUUACUAUUGACUUCAUUUGGAGUUGUAGGGGAGCAGCACCUCUGAAAAUCAAGAGUAUCCAAAACUGAGGAAUUCAAAAUUUGUGGCCAUUUUUGCAAAUAUAGGCUUCAGCCUCUCAGUCUCUCAAUCUGUAAAACUGAGAUAAUACUAUACCUAUCUUACAGAGGCGUUGUCGGGAUUUAAUGUGUGUAUUGAAUAUGUUGUGCUGUAUAAUUGUGUAUUAAAAAAAUUCAAUGAUUUAUUUUAUAUCCUCCCUCAGGGCUCAGUAUCUUACUCAUGGUGAGUAUCUCACCAUUCUUGUCCUGUCAAUGAAGGUGGGGUAGUUGAAAUAUGUGCAUCACAUAUUGCAAAAAAAUGCUAACAUGAAAACACCAAUAUUGCCAUAUUAGUGAAAUACUACAUAAGAAGUAAUGUCUUCUAGUGGAUAAGACCUAGUAUUUCCUGGCUCAGCCACUGACCAGUCCUGUGACCUUGGACAGAUCAUUUAAUCUUUCUGUACAUCUGUCCAUCCUUUGUCUUGUCUAGUUAGUGUGUAAGUUCUUCAGGGCAGGGACUGUCUCAAACAAUGUGUUUUUGCUUAGCAAAAUGGGACCCUCCUCUCACGUUGGCCUCUAGGAGGUCCUGGAAUACAAAUAAUUGCACAUUGUUGCAGUUUGUUAUUCCAUAAAUACAGAUAACUUCCGGACCGUGAAAUAUAUUAGUGUUGGAAGUUCCAUUGCUUGGGAUUUUAAAACUCAACUGGACAAAAUACUUUAGAGAACAAUCCUGCGUCGGUAAAGGGACGGAAAGAAUUGUCUGAAAAGUCUUUUCUAUUUUUAAGUUAUUUGAUUCAAUCCCAAGAAAAACUUCUUCCAAAAAGCCAUCGGUCCAUCCAGUAAGUCAGGCAACUCUAUUCCAGUAAAGUUCUCGAAAGAAAUAAUAAUGUUAUAUUUAUGAAUUGAUAGAAUUAACAUGACAAACUUAAUUUCACCAAUCCCCCUUAACACGAUUCAGAUUUUGAGCAAUUCGCAGUGGUUGCUAAUGCUAUUUCUGCUACUUUUUGAUUUCUGGUCACUCUUGGUUUCUGAUGCUAGGCACUAUUGCUAAAGGAAAUGGGCUAACAAUCUGCUGUUGCCUAUACCUGUCUCAGAAGGAAGAGCACCAGAGAUUUUCAAAAGUGUUACAACAAUGGACUAUUGUAAUUGAAGCCAAAUAAAAAUUAAUUUAUAGUCAAAGAAGAAUGCCCUGGUUUUAGACUCACAGGGCUAUCAUGUGGCACACUUGAAACUAACAUAGUACCUGGGAAAUAUCAAACUCUUUCUUUCUUUGCUGUACUUAUACGCACUUAGCUAGCAAAUGUGCUUGCUAAAACAACAGUUAAAAAAAGGAAGGACUACAUACAGUGAACAUCUGCAACAAUGAAAUGCUGGGCCUAAUCCUUCUCUUGUGGAAAUAUGUCAGCAAAUACCCCUCAUGACUUGUUGCUUAAUUUAAACAUCCUUUUAAAAUAAUAAGGUCCAUUGGGACUUGUUUGAAUGUCACAUAACAGAGAGACAAAAUAAUAAUGUUUUACAUCCUUCUCUUUAGGUUACACUAUAAAACUUUUCACUUGUAAUUCACUGCUGGUAGAAUUGGAGAAGUAUGGUUUUGAAGAUUGCUGUUGUAGAUGUAGCCUUUAUCAAAGAACUUUGCAAAUAACUUUAUAAUAUUAUAUAAUUAAUAACUUACCUACUACAUCCGUAUGAGGUAGGUGAGUGUUUUUCUCUUCAUUAGACAGAUGGGAAAACAGAGAGAGGUUAAGUGACUUACCCAAGGACACGGCAAAUCUGUGUCAGGACAGGGAAUGGAACUUGAGUUCUUGGUUCUCAUGGCCUGUGCCUAGACCACAUUUCUUAAUACCGUGUGUAUGCCCUUGUGUAUUUGGAUAGCUCAGAAUAGUUUCAAAAGGAAACAACCUGGGAGGUUAGGAAGAAGCAUUCCUUAUGGGCAUUUUAUUUCAUAACUGCUCACUUCAGGGUUUCUUGCAUCUUCAUUUGGCUGCUGUUGGAGACAGUAUACUGGACUAGAUGGAUCACUGAUGCGAUCAAGCGCUUCUUGUAUUCUGAUAUUUUUUGGCAAAUUUCCCACAGAUAAUGGCUGUUUUGGUAGUAUCUAUUUUACUUUACAUUAUAAUAAUCUUUUCUUUCAAACUUUCAAGCCUCUUUCACAUAUGUUCCACAUCAUCCUCUUUGUUACAUCUCUCACCUUUCUUGCCUGUCUUUCAACAUUUUGCACGUUAGACUAAUGUAGAUUGAAUUGGGGCAGGGACUGUGGGUGAAAUCCUGGCCCCAUAAAAGUCAAUAGUAAAACUCCUGUUGACUUCAGUAGAUAGAGCCCUGCGCAGAUACAAAUUUAUAUCUGCAGAUAUCAAUUGUUAUCCAUGGAACUGCAGGGGUCUCGGGGGAACCGCAGCGGUGAAAGGAGCAGAAUGUGUGGCCGUGCUCCCAGGAGCCAGUACCCCAUCCCGGCAGCUCCUCCAGCGUGGCUGUACUACCCCCAGCCCCGCCCACUGGGACGGGCACCAGUCUCACCAGCAACUGUCCUUGGACACGCUCUUAUAUUCAAGCAGCACGCACACACCCAGAUAGGAGACGCAGAUAGCUGUGUGGAAGGGACCGGGCCAGGGCUGGGGACGGUACAGCCGUGCCAGAGGAGUUGCCGGUAUGGGGUGCUGGCUCCACAUUCUGCUCCUUUCACCCCUGUGGUUCCCGGGAGAGCCCUGCGUGGAUACCAAUUUAUAUCUGUGGAUAUAAAUUGGUAUCCACGCAGGGCUCUAUCAGUAGGGUCAGACUUUCUGUGUGUUUAUUUCCCUAGACCCAUGAAAACAUAAGAUGCUACAUAAAAAUUAACAGUUUAAGGCCUCAAAAGGUGAUAAUAUAAAACAGGAAAAUUGGAUUAUGGGGCUCUGACAAUAAUUAAGAGAGCUCAUUUGAAAUAAAAAAUAUAUAUACACACACAGAGCCAUUUUUUUAUAAUUAGCUUUGAGUAAUCAUUUUUAAACCUAAUAAGAUCAUAGUCUGCAUGAAAAAACAGUAUCUCUAGACAGUGGAGCAAAAGUCGCUAUAAUAGGAGAUUGUGUGAUGAUAUCAUAAGAGGACACCAUUAAGUUCUUUAAUAGUCAUACAUCAAAACCCAAAAUAACCAAGAUAGCAUUGUCAAUUUCAUUAAAACAAGUAAAUCAAAAUCUUCUAAGUCAAAAUAUAAUGAUGUUUUAAAUGAUCUCAGCCACAUCAGAACUACAUAUUUGUUGUAUUCCCAAUGAGUGAGUUACUUAGGCUUACCGGGUCAGAUUCUACUCUCAUGCACAUGGAUGUCAGUCCAGAGUAACUUCACAGACUUUCAUGAGAUUCAGGUUCCUAAGUCACUUUUGAAAAUGGGACUUUAACUCCUGUAGUCCAUAGGCAGUGGGAAGUAUCCAUGUAACUAGUUUGAGUGUCCUCCAGUAGCAAUUAUGUUCUAUGUUUUAGUAACUAGCCAGAACAGCUAUAUAAAAUUGCAUGUUGUGUAUAUUAAACACAGUUAUUUGGACCCAUCAUGUCCAUGUGUUUUUUUUCAUACUAUUACACUUGUGUAAAGAGCAAAAAACACAACAGCUCCUAAGUCACUUAGACGCCUUUCAAAAUUUAACCCAAUAACAUUAAAACUUCAGAUUGAGUCACACUAGGAUCUAGUUUAGAGGGUAUAACUCUUCAGUUUGGCAUUCUGA